rnacentral:lncRNA from 1 species
GUUUCGUGCGCACCUCCGGGCGGAAUUACCGGCCGGCUGGGACCCCGCUCCCGGUCUGAGCCACCCAGGUUAUAGAAGGGGAAUCUCGGGAAGCUUUCCAAGUCACUGCCCACGUCUUCGAACUUCCUCGGGGUGACGAGGACCUCCCUAUUAGGAGGUCCAGAGAGAAUUUGCCCAAAGUUACCCCGAGUGAGUGACAGAACUGGAAACCCGGAGAUCCUGUCUUUCAAAACCGGAAGGCUCUUCCCAGUAAACCUGACGGCCUCUGACUGAGGCCGUAUCCAUUGGCUACCAAAGGGAAGGCCGAGGAACCUCGUAUUGUAACCUUAACAGCUACUCAGAGGUAUACUGACCACUGGUUUUACUUUUGGAUUGCACCUUAGAAUCCUAACUUACUGUAAGGACCCACCGACUUUAGAACCUAUCUAGGACAAGGAACCGAGGUCCGGAAAAAGGGAAGCAACUUGUCCAAGGACAUAGACGCUAAUCAGUAACAGAGCAGCCGAGAACUCAGGUCUCCUAGCUCUAGUCCAGGGCUCUUUCUCUUGUGAUUUUGGACAACUUGACAGAGAGGUAUGUUGGUAUGUUGGCAGCAGACCUCUGUGCUUUCCCGGAUCAAGCAUCCUGGGAUCUUGAACAACAGUUAAAGCAACAUUGCAUAGAGAAAAUGGGAUAGAAGGGUCAAACGGUGCUGAAGGCAGAGGUGUCCUAACAGCCGGGAACUUAACAGAGGGACGGAAUUUAUUUAGUAGUGAAAGUGGCUCAUGACAGGCAUCAUACUCUCAAGACUUCGCUGAUGGACUGUGAAUGGGAUGGUUGCAGUAAGAAACCAUUCUAACAAUGGAAUCUCUUCAGAAUUCAGAAGAAACAGGGAGGGAAAUUUGCCCUCUCCCUUGAUAACAUUUAUUGUUCAUAUAUGUUCACUUGCUAGGAAACGGGGAUAGAAAUAAAUAAGAUCCGAGUCCUGCUCUCAAGGAUACACAGCCUUGUAGCAAGUACACAAAGGCCAAUGCACCUUUUCCCAGGGGACACUGAGGAGUCAAAAACAAAAUUUGUGUGAGUUCUCAAUGUCAUCCUAGCCUUCCCCUAAAAGCAAAAAGGAGGAAGGGGAGGAAAGAGGACGUGUCCUUUUUUCUUGUCAUUCUGUGUGACAGCCCUAUUUGGUUGUCAGCGGUGUACAAAAGCAGCAGUGAACCCAGCACUUGUUCUACCCUUAGCCUAAGGUGCCGGCAGCAAGUGCCUAGCAAAUGAACAUAUAUGAACAAUGAAUAAAGGCUCUUUACUCUUCAUUCCUCCUUUCUACCCAUCUUUAUUAGUUACUUAUUGCUGGAUAAAAAAAAAGUUCCUCAAAGCUUAAGGGUUUAAAACUUAUUAGCUUAGUAAGUUAAACAGCGAUAAAUAUUAUCUCAGUUUCUGUGUGUCAGGAAUUCAGGAGCGGCAUAGUUGGGUGGUUUUGGCUCAGGGCAUUAUGAUGUUGCAGUCAAGAAGCCUGCCAGGGCUGCAGUCAUCUGAAGGCUUCAGGGGGACUACGGGAGGCUCUUUCAGCAUGGAUCAUUCACAUAGCUAGCCCCAGCUUAUAAAUCUAUGAAGGUGUCCAGGUCCUGCCAGACUCCGCUGCAUCUUUUGCUUUCACUCCAGCAGGGUAGCAGCAUGCUGCCUGUGCCAAGGCAAUCACUAAAAGGAAAGGAUUUAAUGCUGUCAAAAAAGCUUAUGCCAGCUUAGGCUGCAGGAAGAGGAACAGUGUCAAGUAUGUUGAAAGUGGACAUAUUGGUCAGACCUCCAUGAGAGCCUAGGGGGCAUUGCUUAGCAGCACGCUUUUAAAGGAAUCUGAACAAACCAGCAUGUGGAAAGAAGAGAGUAACCACAGCAAUCAGGAAACAACUGUACAAUCUAGGGCCAUUUCAUUGGAAAAACAGAAGUCUCCAGGGAGCUGCAGUCAUCAAACAGGCUUAUUCUGUGUACCCAGUGGGCAAGUACAGUCAAUGGAUGAAAAUUCAACCAAUGGACAAACACAGGAAGUUUUUCCUUAACAUGAGUUGUCAGAAACUGUCCAAAAUUCCAAAGAGCUGCCUCAAGGUAGUGGAAAUUUUUUUUUUUUUUUAAUCAGGAAGGUGCUGAAUGAAGCCAGCAAGGAUUCUGUGUCAGAGGGUGGUAGAUACCCAGGACAUAAGGUUGAACCACGUGACCUCUGAGACCACAGUUCUAAGCUGUUGAAACCUCAGUCCCUGCUGAAUACUGAAAUGGUAUUAGCACCCUUUAGUCUACAUCAAGAAUUCGUUCUACCCAGUUUUGGUGGUACCAAGACUGAUCUCUUUCUCAUAGAUAAUUCUUAACAGAAUAAAAGCUACAGGUUGAAACCAAUUCCCUUUAAAAUGUGGACAGUUGACCAUCUCCAUGAUAGGUAGUUAGGCACUGAAUUAAUGCUUUUUAAUGGAAGAGCCACCCUAAGAUUCCUGGAGUGUGGUAUAAUGGAGUACUAAAUCAGCAUAGGACUAAUAACUGCCUCCCGUGUAAACUGGUCUAUCCGGAGAGUGGUAUAGCCUCUCAUACAGUGUUCAAAGGCAGAUUUAACUCACUGCAGGUCCACAGCAACCGAUAAGAUAAACUCGUUGGUUAUGGUCUCCCACUUUGCAAAGGAGAGCACAGAGGAAGAGGAAACUGAGAUAACUUGGUUUAGGACCCCACAGCUGGCUGGAGCUGGGCUGAACAUUAGUUCAUUGUUUCUUCGAUUAAUCUAUGCUGCUUUUUCUCUACUUGGCUCCUUUUCUAAAUUAAACAAAACAAAACAAAAAACACUGGGCACAGAGUGGUGUAUAUGUGUGUGAGAGAGAGACAGAGAUAGAGAAAGACUAAGCGAAAGAGAAAAGAGAGAGGCUGAGUGAGAUUCAGAUAAAAUAAGGCACAAGUCAUGGGCUAGUCUGUUGUACAGUGUACUUGUCAUAUAUUUGAAUGCCUUUAACAAUGGAGACAGUUUUGAUGGAAAUAGGGCCUUGAAGAAAUGCAUAUCCGCACCCUGGUGGUAUGUUAUAACUAAACGGGUUGGUUUUUUGUUUCGGAGUUUUUUGGGUUUCUUUUUAAUGCAAAGGUAUAUAUUUAAAAUACCCUGUAGCUUCCUUCUCUCCUUCAUUUCAUUUCCUUAAGUAUGAGAGAGGUUUUCUGGAUGACGGGACAUCCAAACUGGAAGUGCCCUCAGAUCCCAUCAACUCCCAUCCCCAUGUUUGAGAAGCACGUAAAGUAAGCUCCAGAAGAGCUCCCAGACAACGUCGGCACACAAUUAUCAGAGGACUUUUCCCUGAUGGCAGAAAGCUACUGACAUUUCCA